rnacentral:rRNA from 1 species
AUUGAACGCUGGCGGCAUGCCUUACACAUGCAAGUCGAACGGCAGCACGGGAGCUUGCUCCCGGUGGCGAGUGGCGAACGGGUGAGUAAUACAUCGGAACGUACCCAGGAGUGGGGGAUAACGUAGCGAAAGUUACGCUAAUACCGCAUAUUCUGUGAGCAGGAAAGCGGGGGAUCGCAAGACCUCGCGCUCUUUGAGCGGCCGAUGUCGGAUUAGCUAGUUGGUGAGGUAAAAGCUACACAAGGCGACGAUCCGUAGCAGGUCUGAGAGGAGGAUCUGCCACACUGGGAAGGGGAUAGGGCCGAGACUCCUAUGGGAGGCAGGAGUGGGUAAUUUUGGACAAUGGGGGCAACCCUGAGCCAGCAAUGCCGCGUGAGAGAAGAAGGCCUUCGGGUUGUAAAGCUCUUUCGGCGGGGAAGAAAUGGCAACGGCUAAUAUCCGUUGUUGAUGACGGUACCCGCAUAAGAAGCACCGGCUAACUACGUGCCAGCCGCCGCCGUAAGAC